GGUCGUCUCCUGUUGGAAGAGAAGAGACCAGAGCACGAAUGGGAACGACAUUUUGAAAACCAUAUCACUAUACUUCCACUUUACUGCAAUUCACCUUUUUUUUUUUCCCCCUGCGAGUCUAUAUCAUAAAAUCCUAAAUGAAUGCGUCUUGGCUUCUCUUUGCAGAACUGUGUUUUGGUUUUGUGCUUCAUCUCGAGGGACGGCCAAGAACGCGUAAAGCCCCUGAUCGAUAAUCACGGACGGCGCAUUCCCUCCACGCGAUCAUCUUUUGAUGCUUUCCGACGUCGCCCGUCAACCGGGGCGGGAUUCGUAAAGGUUUACUGUUGUGUCUUCGAGUUUCAAAGCGAAAAGCCGCUGACGCACGUCGGUCCCCGAGGUGGCUGAGAAGAGCGAUCGUUUUAUCUCUGUGUCAGAGUGGACAGAUGUCUCUGUGAGUCUGCUCACGUCCCUACUGUCCAGACCUGCCGGCAACAUGCAUCCGAGUUCAUUUUACUGCAAGUGUUUUACCAGGAAUGAGUUUAGUGAACAGUUUUGCACAAACCAUGUCAGUGAAGAAGAUGUCCUGGUCAGAUAAGGUCAACAUUGAACUUUCUUCCCUGCAUGCAAAAUUCUACGUCUGAACUCUGAAUGUGCUAUCGCACAGUUAAAAGUCUGGUGGUGGCAGCAUCAUGCUGAUGGGAUGAUUUUCUUCAGCAGGGACCAGAGGCGGGUAAAGUAGCACUACUUAAACAUAUUUUUACUCAAGUAAAAGUAAGGGGAAAAAAAAAAGAAGAAUUUGUUAUAAAGGCAACUUAAGUACCAAAAAUCUGUCAUUUAAU